CCCUUAGAUGUUCUGGGCCGCACGCGCGCUACACUGACGAAUGCAACGAGCUUUAUAACCUUGGCCGAAAGGUCUGGGUAAUCUCCAAAUUUCGUCGUGAUGGGGAUAGAUUAUUGCAAUUAUUAAUCUUCAACGAGGAAUGCCUAGUAAGCGCAAGUCAUCAGCUUGCGUUGAUUACGUCCCUGCCCUUUGUACACACCGCCCGUCGCUCCUACCGAUUGAAUGGUCCGGUGAAGCGUUCGGACCGUGGCCUUUGGACGGUUCGCCGUCUGUUGGCUGCGGGAAGUUCGUUAAACCUUAUCAUUUAGAGGAAGGAGAAGUCGUAACA
rnacentral:rRNA from 1 species